UACAGAGACUGCAAGCGUUAUUCGGAUUCACUGGGUUUAAAGGGUGCGUAGGCGGCUUUGUAAGUCAGUGGUGAAAUAUGGCAGCUUAACUGUCAAGGUGCCAUUGAUACUGCGGAGCUUGAGUACAGAUGAGGUAGGCGGAAUUGACGGUGUAGCGGUGAAAUGCUUAGAUAUCGUCAAGAACACCUAUAGCGAAGGCAGCUUACUAGGCUGUAACUGACGCUGAGGCACGAAAGUGUGGGGAUCAAACAGG
rnacentral:rRNA from 1 species